GGAUUAGAUACCCUGGUAGUCCACGCCGUAAACGAUGUCUACUAGUUGUCGGGACUCUUGUAGUCUUGGUAACGCAGCUAACGCGAUAAGUAGACCGCCUGGGGAGUACGGCCGCAAGGUUAAAACUCAAAUGAAUUGACGGGGGCCCGCACAAGCGGUGGAGCAUGUGGUUUAAUUCGAUGCAACGCGAAGAACCUUACCUACUCUUGACAUCCAGAGAACUUUCCAGAGAUGGAUUGGUGCCUUCGGGAACUCUGAGACAGGUGCUGCAUGGCUGUCGUCAGCUCGUGCCG
rnacentral:rRNA from 1 species